CCGACCGCAUCAUGAACAUUGGCUACGUAGUUCAAUAUCCACAUUUUGUGGACAUAGAGACGCUUCAAAAUAAGGUUGGAACUAA